rnacentral:rRNA from 1 species
UACGUAGGGUGCAAGCGUUGUUCGGAAUUAUUGGGCGUAAAGCGCGUGUAGGUGGUUAAGUAAGUUGGGUGUGAAAUCCCUGGGCUCAACCGAGGAAGUGCAUCCAAAAACUGCUUAGCUAGAGGAUAGUAGAGGAAGGUGGAAUUCCUAGUGUAGAGGUGAAAUUCGUAGAUAUUAGGAGGAAUACCGGCGGCGAAAGCGGCCUUCUGGGCUAUUCCUGACACUGAGACGCGAAAGCGUGGGGAGCAAACAGG